rnacentral:misc_RNA from 1 species
UAACCCAAUCACGCAUGGCGUGGUCUUGGGGCUGGCAGCUCUGCCGCCCUCAAAGACAGUGGCAGCGCCGUAGGGCUCUUAGCGUAGUAAUACUCCUCGCUAUAGGGUCUCGCGGCCGCCCGCCAGCAACCCCAUCUUUCUC